AAAUUUGGCAUAUAUAGGAGUUAUGAAAAGAACACUGCAUCAAAGAAUACAAGAACAUAAAAAAGACAUGCAGACAGGAACAACUACCACAGUCCUUGCUCAAGCAAUGUAUGCUCACAGAAUAAAUAUAAACUGGAAUGAAGCAAAAAUCGUAAAACCUGUUCUAAAACAAUCUCAGGCAUUAUUCGUUGAAAGUCUACAAAUAAUAAAAGAGCAAACAAAUGGCCCAAUUCUAAACAAAAAACUUCAAGAGAGAUCCCAGAUACAUGGAAAUACUUAAUCCAAAAAGCAAAGCAAAAUAAUAAAAAUAGCAUCUCAUAUUACUUUCGAUUUACUGUCCAUAAUAUAAGUUUAUCUAAAUUCGUAAAAAAACUUGUUUUUGUUAAAAAAAAAUAAUUCAUUUUAAAAAAUAAUCCUCUUAUAAAAAUAUUUUGUCUAUAAAAACUAACUUAACUAUUUUACUAUAUUUAUUUAUAUAUAAAAAAUAUGUUACCAUAGUAACUAAACUAUUUUCAAAUAUCUGUAAGUUUUGAAUGUUCUACGAAACUCGUUUUGUCAUAUUUUGAUGGAAGCCCUGACGAUGGCAAUGUAAUUCUUGCCGAAAGCAUUUGGCAAUAAAAUUUUUGCUUUAAGUUGAACACAGCUGCUGUUUACAGUUAUUAUUUAUUUAUUUAUAUAAUUCAAGUGAAGAAAAGCAGUGUAUCAAAAACCAAAAACUAUUGAAAUGAAUCAAAUAUUUUAUUGUAUUUUCUUCAAUUUCUAAUAUGCUGGAAACUGAGGAGGGUG
rnacentral:lncRNA from 1 species